rnacentral:rRNA from 1 species
AGAGCGAACGCUGGCGGCGUACUUAACACAUGCAAGUCGAACGAGGAUCUUCAGUGUAGCAAUACAUCGGAGGUUCUAGUGGCGCACGGGUGAGUAACACGUGGGUGACCUGCCCUUGAGCUCGGGAUACCCCCUCGAAAGGGGGGCUAAUACCGGAUACGUUCCUCGGUCGAAAGACUGAGGAGGAAAGGUGGCGCAAGCUGCCGCUCUUGGAGGGGCUCGCGGCCUAUCAGCUAGUUGGCGGGGUAACGGCCCACCAAGGCUAUGACGGGUAGCUGGUCUGAGAGGACGACCAGCCACACGGGGGACUGAGACACGGCCCCGACUCCUACGGGAGGCAGCAGUGGGGAAUUUUCCGCAAUGGGCGAAAGCCUGACGGAGUGACGCCGCGUGUGGGACGAAGGCCUUCGGGUCGUAAACCCCUUUCGGCAGGGACGAAGCGAACGUGACGGUACCUGCAGAAGAAGUCCCGGCUAACUACGUGCCAGCAGCCGC